CGCUGGCAGCGUGGAUUAGGCAUGCAAGUCGAACGGGAUCCGGUAGGCAGCAAUGUCGGCCGGUGAGAGUGGCGGAAGGGCGAGGAACACGUGGGUAACCUGUCUUUGAGGUGGGGAAAACCGCUGGAAACGGUGGCUAAUACCGAAUGUAGCGCCCGCUCGCAUGAGCGGAGCGCCAAAGGGGGCGAAAGCUCCCCCUCUUCGAGGGGCCCGCGCACCAUCAGCUUGUUGGCGGGGUAACGGCCCACCAAGGCUCACGGUUAGCUGGUCUGAGAGGAUGGCCAGCCGCACUGGGACUGAGAUACUGCCCAGACUCCUACGGGAGGCUGCAGUCGAGGAUCAUUUGCAAUGGGCGAAAGCCUGACAAUGCGACGCUGCGUGGAGGAUGAAGGCCCUCGGGUUGUAAACUCCUGUCAUGGGGGAAAAGGAAACCCUGCCCAAUACGCAGGGAAUUUGAUGGUACCCCAAGAGGAAGCGACGGCUAACUCUGUGCCAGCCGCUGC
rnacentral:rRNA from 1 species